rnacentral:rRNA from 1 species
UACGUAGGAGGCGAGCGUUGUCCGGAAUUACUGGGCGUAAAGCGUGCGUAGACGGUCAUGUAAGUCGGAUGUGAAAGCCCCGGGCUCAACCUGGGAAUUGCAUUCGAGACUGCAUGGCUUGGGUGCGGAAGAGGGAAGCGGAAUUUCCGGUGUAGCGGUGAAAUGCGUAGAUAUCGGAAGGAACACCAGUGGCGAAAGCGGCUUCCUGGUCCGACACCGACGUUCAGGCACGAAAGCGUGGGGAGCAAACAGG